rnacentral:tRNA from 24 species
GUUAGCUCAGUUGGUAGAGCAGUUGACUUUUAAUCAAUUGGUCGCAGGUUCGAAUCCUGCAC